AUAUGACAUAGUAACUUAGCACUACCAGCUAGUACGAGCAUGAUUUCUGAACAACAACAGUCAUCAUAAAAAAGACGACC
rnacentral:ribozyme from 1 species